UACGGAGGAUCCAAGCGUUAUCCGGAUUCAUUGGGUUUAAAGGGUGCGUAGGCGGAAUGAUAAGUCAGUGGUGAAAUCCUGCAGCUUAACUGCAGAACUGCCAUUGAUACUGUCAAUCUUGAGUAUAUUUGAUGUGGGCGGAAUGUGUCGUGUAGCGGUGAAAUGCUUAGAUAUGACACAGAACACCGAUUGCGAAGGCAGCUCACAAAACUAUAACUGACGCUGAGGCACGAAAGCGUGGGUAGUCAAACAGGA
rnacentral:rRNA from 1 species